rnacentral:piRNA from 1 species
UAGAUUAACUAUGCAAGAAGUGAGGGAGAG